rnacentral:rRNA from 1 species
UACGUAGGGGGCAAGCGUUGUUCGGAAUUACUGGGCGUAAAGGGCGCGUAGGCGGCAUGGCAAGUCAGGAGUGAAAGGCCUGGGCUCAACCGAGGAACUGCUUUUGAUACUGCCAAGCUAGAGUGCGGAAGGGGCAACUGGAAUUCCCAGUGUAGCGGUGAAAUGCGUAGAUAUUGGGAAGAACACCUGAGGGGAAGGCGGGUUGCUGGGCCGGCACUGAGGCUGAGGCGCGAAAGCGUGGGGAGCAAACAGG